rnacentral:rRNA from 1 species
AGGAAUUGGCGGGGGAGCACCGCAACGGGAGGAGCGUGCGGUUUAAUUGGAUUCAACACCGGAAAACUCACCAAGGGCGACUAUCACAUGAAAGCCAGGCUAACGACCUUGCUUGAUUCUUAGAGAGGUGGUGCAUGGCCGUCGUCAGUUCGUACCGUAAGGCGUUCUCUUAAGUGAGAUAACGAACGAGACCCUCAUCUAUAAUUGCUACUUCACCCUCCGGGGUGGAGGCACAUUAUCGAGACCGCUGGCGCUAAGUCAGAGGAAGGAGAGGUCAACGGUAGGUCAGUAUGCCCCGAAUCUCUUGGGCUACACGCGCGCUACAAAGGGCGGGACAAUGGGCUACGACGCCGAAAGGCGAAGUCAAUCUCGAAACCCGUCCGUAGUUCGGAUUGAGGCUUGUAACUCAGCCUCAUGAAGCUGGAUUCCGUAGUAAUCGCGAAUCAAAAACUCGCGGUGAAUAUGCCCCUGCUCCUUGCACACACCGC